GGGUAGGUACCGAAGCGGUCAAACGGGGCAGACUGUAAAUCUGCUGGCUAUGCCUUCACAGGUUCGAAUCCUGUCCUGCCCACCA
rnacentral:tRNA from 1 species